AUCGUAGCUCUGACGACGACCAUCUUUCAGAAAUUGUCCGUCCGUCGUCCAGAGCUACGUUAUCGCAGCUAAACUCCGUAGUGUUCCAGUGUUGUUGCUGGGAAAAGUUUAACCGUUUGACCUUUGACCUGCGGCAAAUGACCUGGAUCAAAGAGGGCGGAGGGGAAGUAUGCAAAACGUCUAUUGGUUAUGUACACUGAUUCGUCAGCCAAUCAGAAACGUUUUGUCUGUUGAGUGUCCCCAGGCUGUGUGGAGCAACAUCAACAUCAACAUGGGUUUUGCGUACUCUGUGUUACCAGUCGAGGGAAACCCCAAACACAGUAACAUCCGACGAUGUAUUCAUCAUGUCAUUAGUACUAACCAGAGAAGUAUAUCAUAUAUCUUGUCUAACUUAACUAGGGGCACAGUUUGGAUUUGGAGUAGAUCUAGGCACUAAGCUUAGGCAUAUUUGUUAACGUCUGCUCCAACAUUCGUCGGAGACUCAGACUGCCCUGGACACUCAACAACAUCGGCACCUGGCUUUGCUGGACAUGGAACAACGCCGUUUGCUGGAGAUAUUUCUUUGGUAAACUGGAGGUGUACGAGGAGGAUGGGACGAGUAUCAUCAUCAGACAUUCCUGAAGUUUAUAGACAAAGGUACAAGGGCCGACCAGUCUUCCUAAAGCAAGUCUCAUAGCUGUACCUGAACCCACACGUAGGAAGAGAUCACGAAUCAUGACGAAAUGGUACCAAACUUAUCUAGACGUAAACGAGAGUAAGAAAGUAAGAAUACGCAAAUGGAAGGAACAAGAGCAGCUCCUAUAUAAGUACAGGGCCACUGGUCGCAGAGGUCAGAGGCCGCUGAGAUAUGGAGGAACAAGGUUAUCAGAAAGAAUUGAGGAAAGGGGAGGAGGAUUCUGAGAAGAAAGCUGCUGGUUAACCACACAGUCACACAAAGUAUAAACAAUAGCCUGCUAACUGUAUGAUAACUACACCAUAGCAUACAGAUACUUGUCAUUAAUUUGCGCAAAGGCAAGAAAAUCAGGGUCUCAGAUCUCUGGGCUUUUAACUGUACAAUAAAAAUCCUCUCAUCUGUCUGUACAGAUUUUGACGUUAACAUUAUUGCUUCAAGGUCACCAGAUCCAUAGGUCAAGUGUUCAAAGAUCAAGGUUCUGGUGCCCAGAGAAUUCGGCUGUAUUUCUGUCAGGUGUGGUAACUAAUGAGUUUACCGAGGAGCAACACCCCUAUAACUUGAACAGAUGAGCUAGUCUUCACUGGUGAGAAUUAUCAGCUACCAUGGAUAUACUGGACCUGUUUGUGUCACCCUUGGAGCGGGAGUACUUGGACGAAGACAUCCGUCCUGACAGACCGAGGACAUGAGGUGUCCAGCGUUGACAUGUACUAGACCUGAUUGUGUCACCCUUGGAGCUGGAGUACUUGGACGAAGACAUCCGUCCUGACUGGAUCAAGGGUAUGAGAUGUCCAGUGUUGGCAUGUACUGGAUCUGAUUGUGCCACCCCAGAAGUACAUUUGACAUCCAUCACUUACUUCUCUGGGCAAUGUGUUUUCCGCUCGAACUGCCGAAAUCAACUUACCCUUGGUAAGUGUCAUCACAUUCAGAGGCACCAUCUAUCUGCAGAGGAAGGGAGUUUCCAUAGUGUACGGUACAACACAAAAUUCAUAGACCCAAGGGGUAAACUUAUGCCCAUAUUAAGGGUUUCAGUAUGGCCGUACUUAGGGAGGAGGCCAGUGUCUGUCGUCGAGUGGAAUCAACUAUGGGUGUACUCACCUCGCGGACAUUACUGUGGGACUGCGGAAAACCUAUCAGCUGAUGGAGUUUGAUUUGUGUUAAUGUAUUUAUUCUGUUUGUUGUGAAACUGAUUCAUGAACUUGUUUGUUUAGUAUAAUGAUUUCAGUCCUUACUAAAUGUAUAUUUAUCUGAAUGAAUUCAUGAAUAUAAUUCUGGUGAUUAAUUUGAUCAAUAUUAUUAUACAGUAUGCAUUAAUUUUUUUUAUCAUCAUCUGUAUUUUUGGCACAUUAUUGGAUUGUGAAGCAAGUACCAACUGAGAAUUUUUGUGUUCAUUUUACUUUUAAGAUUAUAUUGUAUCUUUUAAAGAGUUACCAAACUGUUGCAGUUUAGUGAUUGCUCUAAUUUGCCAGAGUUUUUCCUAUAUAAAAGUUGUUUGGAUUUAUCUUCAAACAAUGAAAAAUUGUUUUGUUAUGGGAACCAUAUAAUGUGUUGAAAAUGUUUGGUGUUUAUAUUUGGAUACAACUGUAUGAUUAGAAUUUUGACGGUUGGAAUCAAAUGAAUUGUAUAUACAUGUAUA